GAGGCUUGUACCCAGGUGUCCAAGCGCCCUGUGGACACACAGAGCUGUAACAGGCAGCCCUGUGUUGAGUGGGUGGCCUCCUCCUGGGGCCAGUGUAAUGGGCCUUGCAUUGGGCCACGACUGGCUGUACAGCACAGACAGGUAUUUUGCCAGACCAAAGAUGGGACUUCUGUGUCAUCGGAUCAAUGCAGUGCCUUACCAAGGCCUUUGAGCACCCAGAACUGCUGGACCGACGUCUGCGGCGUGCACUGGAGGGUCAGCCUUUGGACUGUCUGCACAGCAACGUGUGGAAACUACGGCUUCCAGUCCCGGCGCGUGGACUGCGUGCACAUCCGCACCAACAAGCCCGUGCUGGAACAUCACUGCUCCUGGAGACCGCGGCCAGUGAACUGGCAGCGCUGCAACAUCACGCCCUGUGAAAACGUGGAGUGCAGAGACACCACAAGGUACUGUGAGAAAGUGAAGCAGCUCAAGCUCUGUCAGCUCACCCAGUUCAAGUCACGCUGCUGUGGGACUUGUGGAAAAGCUUGAAGACAAGAGCAAUGAAAAUGGAGGAACAAGGGGAUCACAGCCUCUGCUUCACUGAGGCAAGGACUUUUACAGAAAAUAUAAAUGGAAUGGAAUUCUUUUUUUCAUUUUAUUUAUUUAUUUCCCUUUUAAA